rnacentral:lncRNA from 1 species
GGCCUCAACGACCCAAAGGCUUUCAGGGGCUGCUUCUAGAGGGUUACUUUAAAAGUUCAAACAAAUGGAUUGAGAAACAGCUUUUUGGAACCUACCCUGCUCUUAAAAAGAUUGUAACGAGAUUGUGUGAUUCUGAUCAUUGGAAUGACCACUGUAGUCUGAAAUCUUCAAUCUUAUAGCCCCUUUUUGUCAAGAAAGAAAUUAAAGAACAUUUUCCUUUGUGAAGACUACAAUAAGCUCUUCAGGUACGGAUACUGGUUCUUGUUUGUUGUUUCUUUGCAAUAUGAAGUUUUAUGAGGUAUUAUGGACAUCCUAAUUUGCUUAUGAAAUUCAGCUUAUUCUGAGCCUAACUUCCUCAACAUUUUUCCUGUGAAAUUUUUAUUUGUGUGUUGUCUGUGUGAAUCAUUCUUGAUGAGGGCAUUUUACUUCAUCUUAUUUUAAAAUGUGCCCAUAUGCAGGGCUGGUGUGAAACUAUUUAUGUAAAGUUCAGCUGCACUGAUCAGUUAUUGCUUCUGUUCUGAUUGAUAGGUGUCCAUGCCAUGCUAUUUAAUAUUUUGGAUAGAAUUUG